AAGUGGCUUACAUUAACUAUAAAUAUUUACGCCUCGUACGAGUUUACAUCAAGUGGUUUAAAAGUUGGGGUAUUUCUUCCUCAUACGUCAUUCCAGUGUGGUUUACAUGAAGUGAGGAUUUUUGUACCCCACGUGUGCUUAUACUAAGUGGCUUACAUUAACUAUAAAUAUUUACGCCUCGUACGAGUUUACAUCAAGUAGUUUACAUCGUCAGGAGAUUCGUCCCUCGCACGUGUUUGCAGCGUCCGCUACAACACGUGGUCGAGACAGAGCCGGCAUGAUGGUCAAGUCUACUGCCAACGUUCGCUGUUCCUGUCUCCACUGCAUGGUUACGUGAAGGAUAGUGUGUUCAUUGCGAUUAAACAGCAAGAGAUUAACACCUUAGGGUUUACACAUACUUCAAUACAUGGUUGCGUAACGGAUUGUGUUCUUGUUACUCCCAAAUAACGAAAGAUCAGCACCUCAGGGCUAAUACGAGUUUCAUUGCAUGGAUACGUAACUAACUGAGUGUUUAUUGCUACGAAAUUACAUAAGAUCAGCACCUCAGGGUUUACACGACCUUCACUGCAUGGCUACGUAACGAACUGUGUAUUUAUUGCUACCAAAUAACAUAAGAUCAGCACAGGACCUUCCCUGCAUGGUUACGUAACGGACAGUGUGUUUAUUGCGACUACACAAUAAAAGAUCAGAAAUUCAACACGAGCAGCUUCUGGCUUCACCGCAUGGCCAGUGUGUUGAUGUCGUCUAAGGCAGCACAAGAAAGGAGCCGAGAGCCACACGUGCAAGAAGUGUUUAAAUCAAGUUAUUAUUUUUUCCCGAAAAGACUAAUGGCCAGUGUUCAUAUCGUGUGAAGUAGCAUAAGACCACCGCCUUAAGUUUCACGUGAGAAGCACAUUCUGCUGCCCCCCGGCUCUUCACUUUAUGGCUAAGCAGACGUGAUGGUCAGGGUAUUUAUAUCGUCUGAAGUACAGAACCAACGCCUCAUGUUUGUAGCCCGAUGUUCACGUCUCUGUGUGCGUUAUAAAUCUUUACAGCAUAGUUGAAUAAGCAUAACAGAGGCAGACAGGAGUGGUAAGUGGUGGCAGAGAGAGAACCAGGUGAAGUGGACUGUAACCUUUCAUCCCAGUCUGCCGUGACUUCUACAAAUUCCGCGUUGCCGCUCUGUUCCUUUGGUUGUCCAUCAGUGAUCAGUUCCACACAUCACCUGCCCAAAACCAUUAUUCUUGAUAAUCGAAAUAUUUUUCACCUGUGUUUGUCCCUAAUCCUGAGUAAUUGGUGUUUUGCAAAUAAUAUCUUGCACUGCGUCCUAAGCGCUCCAUAACGCUGCCUCAAUUAACAGCUUCCGCCAAUAACGCGCCACUAAACGACACAGUAAAACACCGCAGAUAGCCCUUUAUUUGCGCCUGUCGUGUGGUCACUUCAUUUAUUUGCGUCUAUCGUGUGGUCACUCUGAGGAUGAUACAUGACAGUGUUUGGGCGUGAGGGCGACCAGUGACCCUCCGACAAGUUUACGCGCGGGACGGUUUGUGUGUUGCUCCGCGGCGGACGGGACGAGACAGGCACUGUCGUGUGUAGGUUCAGGCCGCUCACCCACCUGUCCGUGAUACGCGCGUGUCAGGCACCUGCCGAGCAAAGCCGGGUGCUCUUCAUGGCCGGUAUAAUCAUCCACACGGGUUUGUGAAAUUAUUGACUGACGAGAGUGAGGUAGGACACGGAGCUGCCCCGACACGAUGCCUUGCACUGACAGGCUGUAAAACAAACCCUUCACUUACUUUUCACGAACACACGGACACGGAUACGAACGCGGGUGCGGCCACGAAACACGGGCAAGAUGAAGGCCAGACCUGAACCCACGGACAGACUCUGGAAAAAGUGACGUCACACCGGAUACUUUGCAGCUGUUUUAUGCGCACGGAGGCUUGUAAUCUGUGUACUUAGCCACGCACAGCACGAGAACACGGCGCGCCUAACCACGUGGAUGCUGCGAGAGAGUAAGGCGGCGGUGCUCCCUUACCUUAGCGAGCACUGGCUGUCUGCUGGAGUGGCGUCUCCCUCUCCUUGCCCUCAACUUUCGUUGCAAAUAAUGUGAAGUGCCGCGCUGAAAACAACACGCACCCCCCAAAAAAACAGUGAGACGCAACACAAAUAUUACCAUUUCUCAUGAAAAGGGCGCCAGAACGUGAACUUGGCACACCAAAUGUAAACUGCGAGGACGAAAAUUUGGUGAUUCGACGAACGCAGGGGAAGCGACCGUCCCCACGAGGCUUCUAAACCAAGACGUGACGCUAGUGAACGCAAAUAACCACGAAGGCGACUUUAGUGAAGUUUCCCAUUAGUGAACCAUGAAAAAAAAUGUGGACCUCGAAAACAUAUUAGACUAGAAGGACGGUUAUUACUUUCUUAUGUGUAUAUACGCCAGUGCGAACAAGCUUGACACGAGUGAAGAAAACCAGAAGUAAUGAAAACACAACACAAGAAAAGAGAAAACAGAGAUAAUUAAGAGAAAAGAAAACACACAGAGAGCAAGGAAAAUAAUAUAAGACUUGUUUACCGCCUAGUGAGCAAAAACAAUACAUGGUGGAGUGAAAAAAAUAUAUAUGACGUGUAUAAAGAAAAAAGAAAAAAAGAAAACAUAGCCAAUGGAAACAGAGGACAAGGAAGAGAAUAUAAAAUGUGUGUAGAGAACAGAGAGUGGAAAUAAAAAAACAGAAAAGACAAUGAAGAGAGAAAGAGACCUGUAUGGGACAGAAUAAGUGAGAAUAAAAAAACAUUCAGAGGACAAGUAAUAUAAUGUAAGACCUGUAUAGAGAGAGGCAAGAGAAAAAGAGACGCACAGAGGAUACAGAAGAGGAUAUAAGAUAGAUAGAAUGUAUAGCGCCCAUAGCCUCGUGGUGCUCGCUGAGUGUCUCGUGCCGGCUCGACCUCUUGCUCUUGAUUACAGCCCGGCGCCGCCCAGCCCUCAGGCCAAGCAAGAGAGGCGGGAAAGAAAUAGAGAAUGAAAGAGCGAGUUUUAGAAGAAGCCCACGAGAGUAAGACUGUCCAAGGAGCCGCCUGAAAAGGGUAACUGAGGAAGAAGCAUUCGAGGUGCAAAGUGACCGCUGCUGCUGACCGCUUGGGGCAUAAAACUGGCUUAGAGAGACGGACACGAGCGCGAUGUACGGAUAAGAGAGGGAGAAGAGGAGGAAGAGGAAGGAAAAUUGUGACAAGGAAACGAGAGCAGAAACAGAGACAGAUAAAGAUGAUGGAAAGAAGGAAAGAUAAUCAUAAUGAAACGAGGGAAAAGACAGAGAGGAGAAAGAGGAGGUGAAGAGGAAUACAUAGAAGAAAAAGAAGCAGAAGUUGGAAAGAGAGGCGGAGAGGAAGGAACCAUAGACAGAUAGGGAAGGAGAAAAAAUCAUCGGAAACAGAAAGAAGAGAGAGAGGAGACUAAGAAGAAGUAAUAAUAGAGGAUAACAAUAAAACAGCAAGCAGGGAAAGGAUGAAAUGGGGUUAACGAAAGAAAGGAAGAGAGAAAACAAGAACAGAACGGAAAAUGAGAAGAAAGCACUUAGAGAGAGAGAAAGCAUGAGGGAAGAGAAAUAAAAACAGAGGUAGGAAGAAGAGAGAAAAGGAGGAGGAGGGGAAAGAGAGGGGAAAGGAGACGAGGAAGAAAAAAAUCAGAAAAAAAGGAAAAAAAGGUGAUACGAAGUGAGAGAAAAACAAAGAGGAGGAGAAAGAAGAGGAGGAGGAGGAGGAGGAGGAUAAUGGUUUACAGGGAGAAGAAGGGCCAUAAAAGGCUGCCAUAUGGUUCCUUAGACACUCAUCCACCUUAAGACCUUCCCUUUAUCCUCCUCUCUCUCCUUCCUUCCGUCCCGAGGAGAAGAGGAAGAAGAAGAAGAAGAAGAAGAAGAAGAAGAAGAAGUAGAAGAAAAAGAAGAAGAAGAAGAAGAAGAAGAAGAAGAAAAAGAAAAAGAAGAAGAAGAAAGAAGAAAAAAUACAUAACAAAAAUACGAACUAAGCGAACAACAACAACAACAACAACAGUAACAAAAGCAGUAAAAUGACCACCUCUUCCCAGCAGCUCAGGGCCAAACAUCCGACGACCACAACGACCACCACGACCACCACCAACAACGACAACAACAACAACAACAACAACAACAACACUUCAUCAUCAUCCUUCACCACCUCAACCUCAUCCUCACCACCGCCAGAGUCAUCACCACAGCCACAGGGGACCACCACCACCACCACCACCACCGCCGCCGCUCCACGCAACUUGCCACUUCAGGGCCGUCUGAACCAGCUGCAGGCCGAGGUGAGUCAGCUGGAGCGGCGCAGUGAGGAACUCGAGGCGCGCGUCAAGAGCUUCUUCAGGCAGCACCACGCCCUCGCAGCAGCCACCGACCAGAUAGACCUCAAGCUGGAGGCGCUCAACAGGGCACACAAGGCGGUUUCGUCCUCGUAAUAGCAAGCUUCUGUUUCGAUGGUUCAGUAAGCGAGAGAUGUCUAUAGAUAACAGAGCCGGUAUUCUUGAACGUAUUGGCGCCUCAGUUCCCCCCAUUUAAAAAGCCUCUCGUAGAAGUUGCUGACUUUUCAUAGACUGUUUUGUGAUCCUGGUGAUAAUUUUGCACGGUCUCUACUCCCUGAACUGGAAAAUCACCCAUGAAAACCUGGCGAGUCUUCUCUGUGGCCUUAGAACAUGGUCGUAGUGGGAGCCCGAUAUGUUCAAGAAUAUGGUCGGCUUUUCAAAGGAAAAUCACCCAUGAAAACCUGGCUGA